UUUACAAUUUAGUCAUUUACUUUUUCUUUUCCCCGAUCUACUCCCGAAUUUCGUUCUUCUUGAUCUAUAAUAGCAAAUUUAAAUUAUUUAAUAUUCACAUUUAUUAAAACAGUCCUUGACCCAACUUUUGCAUAAUUAUAUUUUUACCCUUAAACUUUCACAUAUUUGCACUUUUGCCCCAAGGCUCGUAAAUUAAACUUCAUCCUAUUUUCUUAUGUUUUAUGACAUGCUGAUCAUUUUUCCCUUCUAUGGCAAUAUCAAAAUCACACUCUAACAUAUACUUAUGACUAUUGGUAUUUUUUUCCAAUUUAAGCCAUUUUACUCGUUUUCACUUAAAACCGAGUAGCAUAAGUUGUUUAACAUAAUUUAAAACCUCAUAUUCUAUCAUAAAACACCAAAAUACACAAAUUUCAGCCAUGGGUAUUUUUCCAAAUAUGAACCCUAGGUUGAAUUAUUGCUAGAAUAAGCUUAAUCAAGUUACCGGGACUCCAAAAACGUAAAGAUCAUUAAAAACGGGGCUUGGAAUCACUUACUAUGAAGCUUGAAAGUUGAAGAAACCCCAGCUAUGGAGGAGAGCAAAAAUCGCCAGAAACUAAUUGAGAAGAUAACCAUUUUUGUGUUAUUUUUCCCUUUUUAAUUCAUUUAAUAUCCAAAUGACCAAAUUACCCCUCCUUACUAAACUUUCAAAUAUUCCUUCCAUGUCUUAAUUUUUGACCAUGAACUUAAAAUUGGUCAAAUUUUUAUUUAAACCCUCCUAAGUAAUUUCAUACUAAAAACUUCUAGAAUGCAAGUUUUGCAAAUUAUUCGAUUUAGUCCCUAACCUCAACUUAAGCACUUUAUGCAUAGAAUUUCAUCAUGAAAUUUUCACACAAUCAUGCAAUCAUACCAUGAACCUCAAAAUAAUAAUAAAAUAAAUUUUUCUACCUCGUAUUUGUGGUUUCGUAACUACUAUUCCGUUUAGGCCCUAUUUCGGGAUGUUACAACUAAUUCACAUUCAAAGUUAAAUUUCCUUCGUCAAGUCCCUUGGGGCAUCAUUUUGCUGAAUGCUAACCAAUGUUGACUAUUCUAGAUAUAUACCACAUCAAAUCCCAUGCAUACAUAUAAGAAUGUUAAAUUAGAUUAACUGCAGAUGACAGAUAGAUAAAGCAGAUUUUGAGAAAUUAAUUACAGAUUGAAUUCAUGUUAGAGCUGGUUAGGUUUUUGGCCUCUUAAAUUACAUUGGGUUUAGUUUUUUCAUUUAAAUACGAUAACACAUGCAGAUAACAUGUGCCAAUGUUCUGCAUAUAUUUUGUGUACUAUAUUCUGGUUAAAAUUAAAAAUAGUUUCAGAUUCUGAAUAUCUAAUACAUUACAGAUCAUGCCCCAGCUUUUGGGUUUAAUUCCAUUUUGAAGAUUUUUAUUUACUCUCGUGGUGUUGUUUUUUUUCUGUGUUCUAAUUUUUAAUUGAUUUCUUUUGUAUACAAUCAUAUGUGCAACAUGUUAGCUCAGUAUACAAAGAAAUGUCUUGAUACGGGGUUACGCGCGGACCAAGAUCGAGUUGCCAAGUCACGAGAAACUCCUACGAAAACCCUAAACAAUUAGAUCUGAAACGAAACAGAAAAUUAAAAGAUUAGAUUUUUAAAUUUUCAGAUCUGAAAUAAAAUCCCCAAAACAGUAAAGAAUCAAAUAGAGAAUAGAAAUAAGUGUUAAUAAGGAAUCUUGAAACCCUAGAAGAGAUUGCGAUUCUGCCCAAUUGAACACCCAGAUAGUUUUCCCCAAAUUUUGGCAAUCUAAUUUCUCCCAAAAAGAGUAUGGAUGAAUCGGCAAGGACCCUAGAAAUUGGGGAUUUUUGGGCUAAUUCCUUAAUAUAGAAAAAGGCUGAAAACACAAUAAGAACAGAAAAUAAAUUAGAUAAAGAUUCGGCACAAGCAGAAAUAAAGAAAGAAUUGACAAUAAGAAAUUAAAAGAUAAGUCCUAAGAAGCCUUGAAAUCCCGAAAGAUCUCACAACUCCUUUCAAACGGCUCUAAUCUCCCCUCCAAAGAAUAUCAAUGGCAAGAAGAAGGUUGAAGAUGGCUCCCACAAUCAAAAAGAUUGUUAAAACAACUUCUAAAGAAAACUCAAGAGAAAAUCCUUGAAGAACUCAAAGAGAAUUUUCACUCAAAUCAAAUCUGAAAUUUUCAAUGUAAUUGUAAUGUAAUGUAGGGUGGCUGGCCAAGCCAUAUAAAUAGGCCUUUCAAAUGUUUUCCUAAUUUAAUUAGAACACUAAAACUAAAACUAAAAAAAAAAAACUCCUAAUUAUUUUAAUAUGGAAAUUCGGCCAAGGGUCUUUUAUUUGGAACUCUUGGACUGAAUAUAAAAAUUUAAACUAAGUAAAAUAAAUAAAUAAAUAAAUAAAAAUAAAACUUUACAACUUGGGCCACUUUGACAAUUUGGCCUGAUUUUCAACUAAGUAUGGGUGGAUUUCUUGAUUGGGCUUGGAAUCUUCUUAUUGGGCCUUGCCCUCAAGAAUUUGGGCUUGUGAUCCAUCUCCUACCGAAAUUGAAUCGUUGAUGCUCGUAAUGGAGAUCCAAUGCGCUUUGGCUGCAAGAUUUGGUGUCUUGGACCAAGAUUCCCAAUAUUUGAAAUCUUGAUUUUCCCUUUCUUUUGUGUACGCAUCUAAGGCCUUACUAACAAACUCCUGGAUGGUCCCAUUUAGUUUGGAACGCAUUUGUCGGGCCUUUGAUCUCGUAUCAUUCCCCCCUUCCUCAAAAAGAUUUGACCUCGAAUCUGAAAAAUCAAAUGGGGACAAGUCAGCCACAUUAAAAGUAGAACUUACAUUGUACUCACCAGGUAGAUCAAUUUUAUAGGCAUUAUCGUUGAUCCUCUCGAGUACUUGGAAAGGCCCAUCGCCCCUUGGGUCCAACUUGGUCUUUCUUCUUGCAGGAAAUCGUUCUUUCCUCAUAUGGACCCAAACCCAAUCUCCAUGUUCUAGGACAACCCGUUUGCGCCCCUUGUUUGCUUUGUUGGUGUUGGCAUCAUAUGUUUUGGCUAUUCGUUGCCUAGCCUGCUCAUGUAAGGAUUUCACCAACUCAGCUUUCUGUUCACCAUCUAAAUUAACAAUGUGUUCAAGUGGUAAUGGCGCAAGAUCAAGUACUGUUAGUGGGUUAAAACCAUAAACAAGUUCAAAUGGAGAAUAACCAGUUGUAGAAUGAAUAGAUCUAUUAUAUACAAAUUCAACAAACGGUAGGCAUUCUUCCCAAUUUCUAAUGUUCUUUCCCACAACAGAUCGUAAUAAAGUCCCUAAGAUCCGAUUAACUACUUCGGUUUGGCCAUCAGUUUGGGGGUGACAUGUAGUGGAAUAAAGUAAUUUAGUACCAAGCUUACCCCACAAUACCUUCCAAAAGUGGCUAAGAAAUUUGACAUCUCUGUCAGAAACAAUUGUUUUAGGGAUGCCAUGAAGUCUUACCACUUCUUUAAAGAAUAAGUCUGCUACAUGCGUAGCAUCAUCUGUUUUGUGACAAGAAAUAAAAUGUGCUAUCUUUGAGAACCUGUCAACAACAACAAAUAUACUAUCUCUUCCUUUCUUAUUUCGAGGCAAACCUAGAAUAAAGUCCAUGGAUAAAUCUACCCAAGGUGAAGUAGGAAUCGGUAAAGGAGUGUAAAGGCCAUGAGGCAUUACCUUAGAUUUUGCUUGUUUGCAUGUAAUGCACUUGGAACAUACCUUUUCGACAUCCUUUUUCAUAUGUGGCCAAUGGAAGUGUUCUUGCAAGAUAUCCAGUGUUUUGGCCACUCCAAAAUGUCCCAUUAAACCUCCACUAUGGGCCUCAUAGAUCAAUAAGUCUCUCAUGGAACACUUUGGUAUGCAUAAUCUGUUCAUACGAAAAAGAAAGCCAUCUACAAGAUAAAAUUUAUCGAAAGCAGUAUGUCCACAAUUCUUAUAGAUAUGGCCGAAAUCAGCAUCAUCAUCAUAUAGUUCCUUAAUAUGUUCGAACCCUAAGACUUUAGCAUUCAAUGUAGUUAUUAAAGUAUAUCGUCUAGACAAAGCAUCUGCAAUUACAUUAUCUUUACCUGUUUUAUAUUGUAUCACAUAAGGGAAUGUUUCAAUGAAUUCUACCCAUCGAACAUGUCUUUUACUCAACUUACCUUGUCCCUUUAACCAUUUAAGAGAUUCGUGAUCUGUGUGUAUGACAAACUCAUUAGGCAGCAAAUAAUGUUGCCAUACUUGAAGUGCACGAACUAAUGCUAAUAGUUCUUUGUCAUAAGUCGAGUAGUUUAACUGUGCACCAUUCAAUUUCUCACUAAAAUAAGCAAUAGGUUGCUUAUCUUGCAUUAAAACAGCGCCAAUUCUAAUUCCUGAAGCAUCACACUCAAGUUCAAAAGUUUUAGCAAAAUCAGGUAAUUUAAGCAAAGGAGCAGAACAUAACUUAGCUUUUAGAGUUUGAAAGGCCUUUUCUUGGGUUUCACCCCAUUUGAAACCCACUGAUUUCUUUAUAACCUCUGUCAAUGGGGCAGCAAUAGUAGAGAAAUCUUUCACAAAUCGUCUAUAAAAACUAGCGAAACCAUGGAAAGAUUUCACCUCAGUUAUCGAUUUAGGAGUCGGCCACUCCUUAAUUGCCUUGACUUUGUCCUCGUCGACAUGAAUACCUUGAGCACUAACUAUGAAACCUAAGAAUAUUAGUUUAUCACAACAGAAUGUGCAUUUAUCAAGGUUGGCAAAUAAUUUUUCAGUUCGCAGAAUAUCCAAAACGGUUCUAACAUGGAAAACAUGAUCAUCUAACGACUUGGAGUAAAUUAAAAUAUCAUCAAAGUAAACUACUACAAAUUUACCCAACUGAAGCCUUAAAACAUGAUUCAUUAAUCUCAUAAAUGUACUAGGUGCAUUAGUAAGGCCGAAAGGCAUAACUAACCAUUCAUACAAUCCAAAUUUUGUUUUAAAAGCUGUUUUCCAUUCAUCCCAUUCCCUCAUUCGAAUUUGAUGAUAACCGCUUUUUAAAUCAAUUUUUGUAAAUAUUAUUGAACCAUGUAAUUCAUCAAGCAUAUCAUCAAGUCUAGGGAUUGGGUGUCGAUACUUUACCGUUAUCUUGUUGAUUGGGCGACAAUCAACACACAUACGAAACGUACCAUCUUUCUUUGGCACCAAUAAGACAGGAACAGCACAAGGACUUAGGCUCUCACGAAUGUACCCUUUGUCUAGUAAGUCCUCAACUUGCCUUUGCAAUUCCUUUGUCUCCUCAGGAUUGCAUCUAUAGGCUGGUCUAUUUGGGAUUGAAGCUCUGGGUAUUAAGUCAAUUUGAUGUUCUAUCCCUCGUAAAGGUGGUAAACCUUUAGGGGCCUCACUAAAAACAUCCUCAUAAUCCUGCAAAAGAGAUUGAAACACACUAGGCAAAUUUUCGUUAAUGUUAGAUAAAGAUAAAUAAUUUUGCUUAAACCUCACAAGGAUACAAGGCUGUUUAUUAAGUAGGGCUCUCUUCACAUCUUUUUUUGUUGCCAAAAGAUUUUUUUCGCUCAUUUUACCACUAGAGGAUUCACUCACCUUUGGGCUUUUUAAAUUUUGACUUUUUCCACUACUAUUAGCCUCUUUUCUCUCUGUCUUUUGUACUUGCUCUUUCUCCCUUACCCCAUCACAAAAUUUUAUCAUCCUCAAUUGAUCUUUAUAUACGUCAGUAGGAUUUAAAGGAGCAAAAGUGAAUUUCUUACCUUUAAAUACAAGGGAGUAUCGAUUAAGUUUACCUUGGUGUGUAACAUCGCGAUCAAAUUGCCAAGGUCGUCCAAGGAGCAAAUGUGCCGCAUGCAUUGGGACUACGUCACACCAUACUUCAUCUUCAUAAUUGCCGAGUUUAAAAGUGACCAAGGACUAUUUCGUAACUUUAACUUCGGAACAUUCAUUAAGCCACUGAAGGUGAUAUGGCUUAGGGUGUUUGGUGCAAGGUAACUUUAAAGAAUCAACCAAAUAGCUACUCACCACAUUUGAGCAACUACCACUAUCAAUAAUGAGUGAACAUAAGUUACCUUUAAUAAAACACCGAGAAUGGAAAAUAUUGGCCCUUUGGCUAUCAUCAUCUUUCAUCUGAAUGUUAAGGGUUCGACGAACUACAAGGCAUUGAAAAUCAGUAAAGUCUCCUUCUCUGGGUGGUUCAACCAACUCUUCGCCAUUAUCACUGUCAUCAACAAGUUCUGGCAUAUCUGGAUCUGUUUUAUCAGAGUCGGAAGUAUACUCACCAUUAUCUUUUAGAAGAAGGAAUCUCGUGUUAGGGCAUUCCCUACUAUAAUGACCACGCCCUUUGCACUUAAAACAUUCAACCUCACGAGUCCUCUUCACACUCGAAUCACCUAAAUUGGGCUGCUUAGAAGGUGUUUGCGUUUUAGCAGGAGCCCCUUUUUUCCAAUCUGACUGCUUGUUACUCAAAGAAGACUUAUUAGUAACAAAAGGUGGUUUUGAACUCUUAAAAUCAGAAUUGGAAUUGUUACCUCGGUAAUAUUGUGAAGUAGAGAAUGACCCAAACCUUUGUUCCUUUAAUUGUUGCUCGAUCUCAGUGGCUUUGUGAACUGCUUCUUCUAAAUCAAUAUAAGUUUGUAGCCUCAAUGUAUUAGCUAUCGGCCUGUUCAAACCAUCAAUGAAUCGAACCAUAGUUGUUUCUUCAUCCUCUUCUAUGUUAGCUCUCUGAAUGAGCAUCUCCAUCUCUUUAAAAUAUUCAUCCACCGUCCUACUACCUUGGAUAAGUCUUCUCAGCUUUGUUUUAAUUUCUCUAUAGUAGUGAGGUGGAAUAAACCUUUUACGCAUAAUCUGUUUCAACUCAUCCCAUGUCGAAAUCUCACCUUCAUAAUUCCGAUGGCGGUUUACCCCAAGUUGAGUCCACCAACUUAAUGCAUAAUCAGAAAAUUCCAGUGUUGCUAACGCUACCUUUUCAUCAUCUGGACAUUUAUAAUACCGAAACAUAAGUUCAAUCUUAGAUUCCCAUUCACAAUAAGCGUCAGGAUCAUUCUUACCACGAAAUUGGGGAAUUGUGAAUUUCGGUUUUGCCAAAGAAGGUUGCCCACGAUCAUGAAAAUCAUUAUCCAUUCUAGUGACACGUCGAGGGCCGCGCCUUUGGGGUUGGUUAUCCCUAUCUUCUUUGAUUGGAUGAGGUUCUUGAUUCAAUCGCACCUCAUUGAUGGUAGCAGUCAAAGCUCAAAGAGCAGCAGCCUGUUCAUCCAACUGUUGUUGGAAUUUUUUAAAUAUGUCACCAUUAUUAUCACCUGUAGACAUUUUUUUUAAAAAUCUGCAAAACACUCAACACUCAAAAAUAAAAGUUAGCAAACCUCACCGUUAAUCACUAAAAAAGAAAAUUCAAAUUCUCAAUGAGGUAGAAUUCAAUCUUGUGAGUUCUUUAUCAAAGUUUAUAUCAACCAAUUAGAGAGUGGAUGAACCGAUCUACCAAAGAAUCCUAAUGUGCACUAGGAUGCCAAAAACUGACGAGACACCAAUUGAUUCGUGUUGCACCGAGGAAGAAUUGGGCACACGUUUAAAUCCUACUAACACAAAAAACAAGAAGGUGUUAGAUAUUGUAAAGGGAGAAUAAAAAGCAAACAAAUGAAAACCUACAGCUAAGAAUCAAUAAAAAUUGUUGAAAACAGAAAACCCGAAAAACUGCGGAGUAACUUGACAACUUCGUUCGAGGUGUUCCCGAUGUCAAAAAAUCACAAAAUUAAAUCUGGAAUGUCUUCAAAUAUUGAAUUUUUGAUCUGGAAAAUUUGGGCACCAAAUUCAACCCGCUGAAUAUUUUUUUAAUUUUUUAUCGGAUUUCGUCUUUUUUAAAUUUUUUGACUUUUUAGACUUAUUUUUUUGCGGGAAAUAUUUUUGUAUAUUCAAUAACAGUGCCAAAAAUAUGUAUGUAAAAUUUCAGAUCAAUCAGAAAACGUUUACCCACUCAAAUGAAUUUUUUUUCGAAAAUUUUUCUGGGUAAAACUGUUGUUUGUAAUUUAAAAAAUAGAGAUCAGUUUAGAAAUCAACCAAGAACACCCAAAACGCCCAAAAUCUGAUACCAAAUGAUACGGGGUUGCGCGCGGACCAAGAUCGAGUUGCCAAGUCACGAGAAACUCCUACGAAAACCCUAAACAAUUAGAUCUGAAACGAAACAGAAAAUUAAAAGAUUAGAUUUUUAAAUUUUCAGAUCUGAAAUAAAAUCCCCAAAACAGUAAAGAAUCAAAUAGAGAAUAGAAAUAAGUGUUAAUAAGGAAUCUUGAAACCCUAGAAGAGAUUGCGAUUCUGCCCAAUUGAACACCCAGAUAGUUUUCCCCAAAUUUCGGCAAUCUAAUUUCUCCCAAAAAGAGUAUGGAUGAAUCGGCAAGAACCCUAAAAAUUGGGGAUUUUUGGGCUAAUUCCUUAAGAUAGAAAAAGGCUGAAAACACAAUAAGAACAGAAAAUAAAUUAGAUAAAGAUUCGGCACAAGCAGAAAUAAAGAAAGAAUUGACAAUAAGAAAUUAAAAGAUAAGUCCUAAGAAGCCUUGAAAUCCCGAAAGAUCUCACAACUCCCUUCAAACGGCUCUAAUCUCCCCUCCAAAGAAUAUCAAUGGCAAGAAGAAGGUUGAAGAUGGCUCCCACAAUCAAAAAGAUUGUUAAAACAACUUCUAAAGAAAACUCAAGAGAAAAUCCUUGAAGAACUCAAAGAGAAUUUUCACUCAAAUCAAAUCUGAAAUUUUCAAUGUAAUUGUAAUGUAAUGUAGGGUGGCUGGCCAAGCCAUAUAAAUAGGCCUUUCAAAUGUUUUCCUAAUUUAAUUAGAACACUAAAACUAAAACUAAAAAAAAAACUCCUAAUUAUUUUAAUAUGGAAAUUCGGCCAAGGGUCUUUUAUUUGGGACUCUUGGACUGAAUAUAAAAAUUUAAACUAAGUAAAAUAAAUAAAUAAAUAAAUAAAAAUAAAACUUUACAACUUGGGCCAUUUUGACAAUUUGGCCUGAUUUUCAACUAAGUAUGGGUGGAUUUCUUGAUUGGGCUUGGAAUCUUCUUAUUGGGCCUUGCCCUCAAGAAUUUGGGCUUGUGAUCCAUCUCCUACCGAAAUUGAAUCGUUGAUGCUCGUAAUGGAGAUCCAAUGCACUUUGGCUGCAAGAUUUGGUGUCUUGGACCAAGAUUCCCAAUAUUUGAAAUCUUGAUUUUCCCUUUCUUUUGUGUACGCAUCUAAGGCCUUACUAACAAACUCCUGGAUGGUCCCAUUUAGUUUGGAACGCAUUUGUCGGGCCUUUGAUCUCGUAUCAUGUCUACUUCACAAUAGGGGAGUGCUUGCGAUUAUAACAGUUUCUUUGCCUGUAGUGCUUCUCAUACUAAUGGCCCUUUCGCGUUGCUUUCUAAGAAGGCAAAUAAGAGGUACGUCUCAUAUUUUUUCUGUACUAGCUUUUUUUUAUUCAAAUUUUAAUCGUUGCCAUAGGAUAUAAUUUGCAAUUGAAUUGACAGCAGGAAGAGCAAGAAAAAGCAAAAAUAUCUUUAGCUUUACCUCAUUCAAAGACUCUUUAGGUGAAAAAGAGAUUGAUGAGAGCAGAAGAAAUGAGAUUUACCCUACUUUGAUUUGGGCACCAUAGCCGCUGCCACUAAUAAUUUCUCUUCUGAUAAUAAACUUAGGCAAGGUGGCUUUGGCCCUGUCUACAAGGUAGUUUUUCUCUAAAAAAAACAUGUGGAAGUGCAAUAAAACUCCUUAUCUGUACUUGAAGGAAAAUUCUUUGUAUUUGCAGGGUGUGCUCUUAAAUGGAAAAGAAAUAGCAGUGAAAAGACUAUCAAAUUCCUCAAGUCAGGGACUACAAGAGUUUAAGAAUGAAAUUGUGCUAAUUGCAAAACUUCAGCAUAGGAAUCUCGUAAGGAUACUAGGAUGUUGCGUUAAGGGUGAAGAGAAGAUGUUAAUUUAUGAAUUUUUACCAAAUAAAAGCUUAGACUUUAUCAUUUUCGGUAUGUCUUCUUUCAAAUUGUUGAUUACUUAUACUAACAACUUUUGUUUUAAGUUAUGCAUGAUUCCUUUUAAAAUUUGACUUUUGAUUUUAGAUGACUCAAAAAGAUCACUAUUGGAUUGGAAAAAACGUUUGGAAAUUAUCUGUGGGAUUGCCCGAGAAAUGUUGUAUCUCCACCAUGAUUCCAGGUUAAGAGUUAUUCAUAGGGAUUUGAAAGCGAGCAAUGUAUUACUAAAUGUUGCAAUGAAUCCGAAAAUUUCUGAUUUCGGCAUGGCUAGAAUAUUUGGAGGAGACCAAAUGGAAGGGGAUACCAGACGUGAAAUUGAAACAUAGUAAGAAUUCGGUAUGCAAAGUUUGGAGAAAACUGCUACAGGUUUCAAACUUAUUCUUACUAUUUCAUUUUUGUUGUAUGAUUUUAGUGGUUACAUGUCGCCUGAAUAUGCAAUGCAUGGACACUUUUCAAUGAAAUCCGAUGUAUAUAUUAACAAUGUUUGAAUUUUGAAUGUCUCGAGGAAAAGGAUGGGGGAUUUGAUUAAGUUGUUGAUAUUAACACACCAUGAUGACAACAGAUUAAUUUGCAUGUAUGAGAAUGACAAUUCGUGAAACUAAGUUCUGAAUAGUGAUUGUACAAAAAGAGUAUAAAACUUUUUUGGGUAUUACUGGAUUUUUCCUAGUUUAAUUAAAGAUCUGAUUAUAUAUUUGUUCAAGCCAUUGAUGAAUAAGUAAAAAGUGUGAUUUCACAAGUAGAUGAAAGAAAAACUAGAAGAAAAUAGGGAUGGGUUCCUUACUUUAUCAUAGGAGACUCGUACAAGCCACGAAAUAAUUCCCACUUCUUAGCAACUUGAGUAGCGACAGGCAUCAGCUUUGGCUGCCCGCCUAAAGUCCCACAGCUGCAUUUCAUCAAACAGAUGAUAGACUAUUAGAAGGAAGCAAACAAUGCCCCAAAACGCACAGAACCAAAGCAACAAAUUCAUGCAUACCUUAGAAAGAACCUUGUAAUGGGUUCAGCUAAAAGGAAAACAAAAACAAAAUUCCAAAUUUAUCAAACCGCACUUUUACAAGGAAAGUGGCCUUAAAUAUAUAGCAACUGUAGAUUAAAUGAAAACAGCCAAGUAUUCAAGUAAUUGAAAACUAUUGCCAAGUGUUCAAGUAAUUGAAAACUAUUGCCAGACCCUAAAUAUAUAUAAACUGUAAAUUAAAGAAAAUCAACCUCAUUUAUCAUUUAACACAAAACCGAAUCAACCAUACAUACCCAUGAAGAUUGAGACAAAUCUCAACAAGUCGAAACCGAUUCACCAGCUUCUACCACUGCAGGGUUAAAGAUUUCAGGGAAUCAGUAAGGAAGGCUUUCAAAGAAGGUACCGUGAAAUGCCAGUAGUUGGAGCAGGUGGUGGACAACAGAUGUACCAAUGGGUAGAUCAGGUGGUGAACGGCAGAUGCACCAGUGCCUGGAGGAGUUUGUGGACGGCAGAUGCAAUUGGUUUUCUUUGCCCAACAAAGUUUGGAGUAAAUGCUUUUUUGUGGGUAAGAAUGAAAAUAAG
rnacentral:lncRNA from 1 species